rnacentral:lncRNA from 1 species
CAUCAGGAGUAGUUAGUUUACUCCAUUGUUCUAAGCCCUCACAGUGAAUAGGUCGGAUGGCAUGUCUAAGGGGCUGAGUUGUUGCCGCUGGCAUGCAGGUUCUCCUGUGCUGCAUGCCCACAUUAAUCUAGCUCUCCUCGCCUCUGAUGACAUGUUGAAUUAUCGCGUUUGACUGUAUUUGGCAUAUCGAUUGGCUCUCUUUCCUUAUCGUGCCGAUAUUUCUGUCACGAAUCAGUUCAGCAAGACUGUGAAGAAUGAGGCCUAUGCAUGUAUUUCUUCAUGAUCAAUAUGAUUUAUCGUGUU